GACGAACGCUGGCGGCGUGCCUAAUACAUGCAAGUCGAGCGAGCUUGCCUAGAUGAAUUUGGUGCUUGCACCAGAUGAAACUAGAUACAAGCGAGCGGCGGACGGGUGAGUAACACGUGGGUAACCUGCCCAAGAGACUGGGAUAACACCUGGAAACAGAUGCUAAUACCGGAUAACAACACUAGACGCAUGUCUAGAGUUUAAAAGAUGGUUCUGCUAUCACUCUUGGAUGGACCCGCGGUGCAUUAGCUAGUUGGUAAGGUAACGGCUUACCAAGGCAAUGAUGCAUAGCCGAGUUGAGAGACUGAUCGGCCACAUUGGGACUGAGACACGGCCCAAACUCCUACGGGAGGCAGCAGUAGGGAAUCUUCCACAAUGGACGCAAGUCUGAUGGAGCAACGCCGCGUGAGUGAAGAAGGGUUUCGGCUCGUAAAGCUCUGUUGGUAGUGAAGAAAGAUAGAGGUAGUAACUGGCCUUUAUUUGACGGUAAUUACUUAGAAAGUCACGGCUAACUACGUGCCAGCAGCCGCGGUAAUACGUAGGUGGCAAGCGUUGUCCGGAUUUAUUGGGCGUAAAGCGAGUGCAGGCGGUUCAAUGAGUCUGAUGUGAAAGCCUUCGGCUCAACCGGAGAAUUGCAUCAGAAACUGUUGAACUUGAGUGCAGAAGAGGAGAGUGGAACUCCAUGUGUAGCGGUGGAAUGCGUAGAUAUAUGGAAGAACACCAGUGGCGAAUGCGGCUCUCUGGUCUGCAACUGACGCUGAGGCUCGAAAGCAUGGGUAGCGAACAGG
rnacentral:rRNA from 1 species